AGUGAACGCUGGCGGUAGGCCUAACACAUGCAAGUCGAACGGCAGCACAGUAAGAGCUUGCUCUUACGGGUGGCGAGUGGCGGACGGGUGAGGAAUACAUCGGAAUCUACUUUUUCGUGGGGGAUAACGUAGGGAAACUUACGCUAAUACCGCAUACGACCUACGGGUGAAAGCAGGGGAUCUUCGGACCUUGCGCGAUUGAAUGAGCCGAUGUCGGAUUAGCUAGUUGGCGGGGUAAAGGCCCACCAAGGCGACGAUCCGUAGCUGGUCUGAGAGGAUGAUCAGCCACACUGGAACUGAGACACGGUCCAGACUCCUACGGGAGGCAGCAGUGGGGAAUAUUGGACAAUGGGCGCAAGCCUGAUCCAGCCAUACCACGUGGGUGAAGAAGGCCUUCGGGUUGUAAAGCCCUUUUGUUGGGAAAGAAAAGCAGCAGGUUAAUACCCCGCUGUUCUGACGGUACCCAAAGAAUAAGCACCGGCUAACUGCGU
rnacentral:rRNA from 1 species